AUUGAACGCUGGCGGCAGGCCCAACACAUGCAAGUCGAGCGGAUGAAGGGAGCUUGCUCCUGGAUUCAGCGGCGGACGGGUGAGUAAUGCCUAGGAAUCUGCCUGGUAGUGGGGGAUAACGUCCGGAAACGGGCGCUAAUACCGCAUACGUCCUGAGGGAGAAAGUGGGGGAUCUUCGGACCUCACGCUAUCAGAUGAGCCUAGGUCGGAUUAGCUAGUUGGUGGGGUAAGGGCCUACCAAGGCGACGAUCCGUAACUGGUCUGAGAGGAUGAUCAGUCACACUGGAACUGAGACACGGUCCAGACUCCUACGGGAGGCAGCAGUGGGGAAUAUUGGACAAUGGGCGAAAGCCUGAUCCAGCCAUGCCGCGUGUGUGAAGAAGGUCUUCGGAUUGUAAAGCACUUUAAGUUGGGAGGAAGGGCAGUAAGUUAAUACCUUGCUGUUUUGACGUUACCAACAGAAUAAGCACCGGCUAACUUCGUG
rnacentral:rRNA from 1 species